rnacentral:rRNA from 1 species
AACGUAGGUGGCAAGCGUUAUCCGGAUUUACUGGGCGUAAAGGGUGUGCAGGCGGGGGAACAAGUGGUGUAUGAAAUCGCCCGGCUUAACCGGGCGGGGUUAUGCCAGACUGUUCUUCUAGAGGACGAGAGAGGGGCAUGGAAUUCCGGGUGUAGUGGUGAAAUGCGUAGAGAUCCGGAGGAACCCCAGAGGCGAAGGCGGUGCCCUGGCUCGUACCUGACGCUCAGACACGAAAGCAUGGGGAGCGAACGGG